ACCUACGGGAGGCAGCAGUGAGGAAUAUUGGUCAAUGGUCGGGAGACUGAACCAGCCAAGCCGCGUGAGGGAUGAAGGUACAGAGUAUCGUAAACCUCUUUUGUCAGGGAACAAAGGCGGGGACGUGUCCCCGGAUGAGUGUACCUGAAGAAAAAGCAUCGGCUAACUCCGUGCCAGCAGCCGCGGGAAUACGGAGGAUGCGAGCGUUAUCCGGGUUUAUUGGGUUUAAAGGGUGUGCAGGCGGAAGAUAAAGUCAGCGGUAAAAUUGAGAGG
rnacentral:rRNA from 1 species